rnacentral:rRNA from 1 species
UACGAAGGGGGCUAGCGUUGUUCGGAAUUACUGGGCGUAAAGCGCGCGCAGGCGGCUAUCCAAGUCAGUGGUGAAAGCCCGGAGCUCAACUCCGGAACUGCCAUUGAAACUGUUUAGCUUGAGGAUGAGAGAGGUGAGUGGAAUUCCCAGUGUAGAGGUGAAAUUCGUAGAUAUUGGGAGGAACACCUGUGGCGAAAGCGGCUCACUGGACCACAACUGACGCUGAGGCGCGAAAGCUAGGGGAGCAAACAGG